rnacentral:lncRNA from 1 species
GGGAUAUUACUAGUCUAGGGCUCCCUUCAUCUAAGUUCAAGUCCUGAGUUUUCCUCAACUAUCUAGGUGUGAUAAAACUAGGCUGCAGGUGACUGCAAGGUUUUCUUCCAGUUCACCUUAUUUUGCAGCUAUGUCCCUUUGGGAUUCCAAAUUAAGGAAAGGAUGGUUUAACACAGUAUAUAUUUUUGGUGGGUUCUGGGUUUUGACUUCUGUCUUUUUGAGCGUGGAAAUCUGCUGGACUCAGUAUUCAGCUCUUCUUUGUACCAGCAAAUACCCUCAAUACAAAGACAGCUUUGAAUGCUAGACUUACCUCUCCUGGUUCUUAUCCUCUCCUAGAUUUGAACCUGGCAAUUAUCAUUACCCUGUUGAUUCUUUGGUGCUUUUUUAAAAAGUUCAGCUUUUUUAGUUGUCCUCAGUGGGUGGAUUUGUCCUAGUUACCUUACCUUUCGUACCAGAAAUGGAAAUCUUUAUUCCCUGUUUUGCUUGGACCUAAGAAUGCCAAAGCAUUGAACUUGAAUUUAGCUCUCAUUUGUGGUUCAAAUAUGAAAAGAUCUCUCUGGACAGUAUAUGUGAACUCCCAGACUGAAAGAAGCUGAACCAGAAGGAGACACCAAAGCCUUUUGUCAGUUCCUUAGAUGGAUGGCAGGGCAAUGUGCACAAUUCCCUAUCUAGCUGUCAUUUAUCUUGAGCAGUUCUCCUGGCCUGAGGCAGGCUGCAUCCCUAUCUUCACUACUUGGUUCUCAGAUUCUCUGACAGAGCUAGGACAUGCCACCCUACAACUCCCAGAAUGCACUUCCACUAGGCUUCUCUGGUCACUAGCUCUGUCCACAGCACUCUACUUGUAGGAGACACAUUUCCCAGCAUGGAAUGAGCCUCUGCUAGUCCCCCAGUCCCAAUCUCACUUCUUUUCUAAUCGUGUUCUGGCAAUCUCUGACUGAAUGUAGAAUGAGGUGGAGCAAGGGGAAAGGAAUGGAUGAGAAGCACUCAAGAUGCCUGUUUUUCUAAUUGGUCCAGACCUUGAGUUUCUCAUCCAGGGUCAGGCAGAUCAAGGGAGGUCCUCUGUGGCACGUUUGCUCAGGUUCUGGCAUCAUUAUGUCAUGGAGCUUGUAGGCUAAAUAAUACUCCCUCCCAAAGAUGUCCAUGUCCUAAUCCCUGUGACUAUAUUACUAUACAUGGCAAAAAGAUUUGCUGUUGUUAUGAAGUUAAUGAUGUUGAGAUGAGGAAAUUAUUGUAGAUUACUCAGGUGGUCCAAAUGUAAUCACAAGGGUCCUUAUAAGAGAAAGACAGGAGAGUCAGAGUCACAGAAAGAGAUGUGAUGACAGAAACAGAGGUUAGAGUGAUUCGAGGAAGAGGACAUGAGACAAGGAGAGUAGGUGGCCUCUAGAAGCUGGAAAAGGCACAGAGAGGAAUUCCCCUCUAGCCCCUCCAGAAGGAAUGAAGCCCUGCAGACAUCUUGAUUUUAGGACUUCUGACUCCAGAGCUGUAAGAUGAUAAAUUUGUGUUGUUUUAAGUCACUAAGUUUGUGGUAAUUUGUUAUGGAAGAAUAGAAAACUAAUACAGGUGGGCCAUCAACUUAAUUUAUCAUCUAGUUCUACCACUAACUAUUGUAGUUGGUGAAAACUGUUUUCAGAUGCUGGAGAUAGGUCAACGCUAUGCUCUCAACAAAAAUUGUCGUAACUUUUGGUGAAGGUUGAGUUUUGCUUUCUUCUAUGUUGCCUGUGCUGCUGCUGCUUCUUUUUGUAUGUUCUUUAUUUGAUUUAACAUAGGCAUCUCAUUGUAAUAUGAAAACUGCCUUGUCGUUUGCAGGAUUUAUAGUAUCUUCUCUCUGAGCAGUAAAGACUCACUCCCUCUUCCUGGUGAUGGAGCAGCUUAUUUAUCACCAACCAAUUCAUGUCAGUUGUGCAUUUUCUGUGCAAAGUUCAGUGUUAAUCACCAACCCAAAUUUUGAAAGUCCUCUUGUGGAAUUAUACUGAGAUAGAACGAAAACACAAAUAUACCUUAAAAUGUUAUAAAUAUUUCAUCGAAGAAGAUGUCUUUAACAUUUUAGCUUAUGGUCUAGGUAUUUAAUUAAUAGAUUGUGACACAAUGCUGGGAAAAUACAGCACCACAUGGCUGGCAGAAAACAGGCACUCUCAGCCUCCCUGCCAUGACUGGUCCCACUCUGAGCAAGCCACUGAAUCUCCCUGUACUCCAGCUUCUCUCUCAGGAACAGUGAUUGAAUAUUUCAAAAUUCAUUUCACAUGUUAUCUAUUUAGAUAAAUUUGAAGCAAUAAAAAUAAAGAAGUCACAUUCCUUGCUCUCAAGUUCAUCAAGGGAGACAAACAGCUUAACAAAUAAUUACAAUGCACCUUGAUAAUUGCUAUGGGACAAUGACAAGACGAGCAAGUAACUGAACCAGGAGGAAAUGGUAGAGGUAUUCAUUAACUAAUUAAUUACUCUCAAAUACUACAGGCAAGCACUCUGUCGGAUGCUGGAUAAUCACUUACCCUGGGAAUAAAUAAGAAGCUGUGAAAAGAAAUGUGUUGGGACCCCCUAGAUCACAGACACUCAGGACUUCCCUGCAUCUCUACCCCUGAGAUGUCAAUGCUUAUUUUGAAGAGAUGACACUGACAUAGGCUAGACACACCUGCAGGUGUAGGGCAGCCACACCCAUGGACUUAGGAAAAACCCUACAUCUUAGCUUCUGGGACCUUGCAACCCUCUGCUCAAAAACUGCCCUUUUCAAACGCUAUCGAGCCUCAAUAACGGGGUUGGGGUGACAGUCUAUGUGAGCUGAACCCAGGACAGACUUAAAUACGUGUCUCUGAGGUUCUAACGCUGCCCACUUUUUCAUGCUCUUGCUUUAUUUCUCUCUUCUUGUCCUAAGUAGAGGGGUUCAAUUUCACAGUCACAAAGUCUGAUGCUCCCAAAUGUAAGUUUGUUUUCCUGUACUUGAACUUAGCUUAGUUCUCAAAGACCCCAUUCUCAGGUUGUGGUAGAAAAGCUAAUCUUGCCAAUUCCACCACUUCUGAUUUAGAACACAUCUCUCUGGCUUCAAUACUCAGAAAUCUCUGCAUUCCUCUUUUCCCUUCUUCCCUUCCUCCCAGAAGGAAUACAAGGUGAAGAGUUUGUGUAUCAUCAUACACACGAUGGUGUCAGGGAAGAGGCAUUGGUCCUCCGCAGGCUCUUCUCCCUGGACAUCCACAACUGAUGUUACUUGUCCCUUCUCUUGGCAAAACAUGUCUUCAGGGCUGCUCUGGGAGCUGGGUGUGCUGACCAAGAGUCUACUUGGCUCCAGCCAAGGUGAUUGCCCUCUGUGCUGUCCACCUCCUGGAUCUGCUACAGGGUCUGCUCACCUCAUUCCUCACCAUCCUCUUGGCCUAGGACUCUCCAGACCCACCUUCCACACCCUUACUUGGGUGUGUGGAAAGUUCAGAUUUCCCCUUUGUCCUGUGGGAGGGCUGACUCAGAUCCCCUCUGCUAAAUCCACUUCACUGCCUCUCCUACUUGCCUGUGGCUGUCCUAUGUUGAUGUGGGGUGUUCUUUGGACUGUCUCCUCCUACAGUUAAGCAGAAUGUUCUGGGCACAAGACUCUAUGUUCCCAAAUCUCCAAGACUAUCCAAAAAUUUAUUAACAACUCUGUCUCCCACCCAGGUUCAACACUGAGCUGAGGGCGAAAAGAUGAAUGCAAUGUUAACAUUUGAGUUUUCUUGAUUUCCUUUUCUAAUCCACCCUAAGACUUUUUCCUAGACCACAAAAGGGUCUUAUUCUUCCCUGUUCUCUGGUUUUUGAAAUACACUCUAGGCCAGGGUUGGCAAACUAUAGUUCAUGUGGCAAAUUGGCUGCAGCCUGUUUUUGUAAAUGAAGUAGUGUUGGAACACAACCACACCCAUUUGUUUAUUUAUUUUCUGUGAGCUACCUGUUACAAUGGCAGGUUGAGUAAUUGAGAUGAGGACUAUUGGACCCCUUACAGAAAGAGUUUAUUGACCUCUGUUCUAGGCUCUGAAGCCUCUAGGUUUGGCACCAGAUAUUUAAAGCUAAGCUUUCUGAAUCCAAGAAAAUCUACCCCUCCCCAACUCCCAUCCUAUUGCUUGGUUCUUGCAAUUGAAGCCAUGACUUGAAGACCCUCAGAACUCAAAGCCAAGAAUGGAACUGUUUUCCUAGGAUUCCGUUGUGUCUUCCCUUCCUUAGCACAGUAAGCCAGGUCUGGUUUUAAUGAUGAAAAGAGAAAAUGUAUCAAUUAAUAUUUCAAAAGGUCCCAUGACACUUUAUCUCUGUCUGUCUGCUGGUUGUUUCUGUGGCUUCAUCCCAGGUAGACAGCUUGCUGGGACCAGUGCAGUGAGCUUUCUAACAGCCUACAAAAGCAGUAAUUUUCCCAGAGGAAAUCAAAGAGAUGCUGGCUCUUACCAAGCUGUUUUUGGGCAGGUUUACCAAAUGCGGGAAUCAUUGAAUGUUUGAGCUAGAAAAGAUGAUAAUGUCCAUCAUCAUCUUCAUGCCCUCCCAUCCUCCCCACACUUUUACGAUGAAGACAUAGACGUGGAGAGGGUAAUGAGGAGAAAGGAGGAGUGGGCUUGUCAGGAACACACAGCACAAAUUGUAGUCCUUUUCUCCCUUCUAUUUCCUGUUCCUGUGCUGAAACAGAUCCUGAGAGCAGCAAGGAUCCAGGCAUCAGGGAAGGAAGAAGAUGAAAGUCACAGCUGGACUACACAGUCACAAAGCAUCUGGUCUGUAUAAUUAAGGGGAGCUGAGAAAAUACAAUUAGCCAAACAUGCAGGAAGUCUACGGCAAAUCUUCAUGACAGAAAUGUAGCCAAAGACCAUAUUCCUUCUUGGAUGAAGACUUUAUUCAUCGACUCACGUGGAAUGUAAACACCCUGCAUUGCUCCACUCCGGGAAGACGUUUCUUUUUGGCUCCCUCUGGUGGUUGAUCUGUUUAAAAACCUAUUUGUACAAGCUGCUGCUUCACCCUCUGGUCCCAUUCCUGAUUCUGGAUGCAUGUAUAAAAAGCCCUACUUGUUGGCUUAGGAAUUACCCUAGCAGGUGUACAUGAGCAUGACUUAAGGUCUAGUUCAAAAGUAAGUGCUAUUUGGACUGUUAAGAAGAAGAAUGCUAGAGUAAGAACUCAAAGCAACAAUAGUGAAAACUUCUAAAUAACUACAAAACAUCAACAGAUGUACACCAAGCCAUCCUCUAGAAAGGAUGGGGUGGUUAUGUGAAUGCCGACAUCCACACUUCGGUGUGCUUUGGACAAGCCUCACACCUGUAUGACACAGUUAAGUAUCCAUACUUGGGACAGACCAUUUGAUUGCAUGUUAUGGAACAUGACUGGUGUUAUUAUUAAAGGGUCGGUUAUAAUAGAGAAAGGCUGUUCUAACCACAAGGAUGUGAAUAGUUUCAUAUGUAAUGACGUAUGUGGAUCCCAAAGAGUGAAGUAUUUCUAAGUAAUUCAGUUUAAACUACUCCUUGGAUACAUUUUGUCAAAUGGUGAAUAAAGCUGAUCUGAAACAACAACAAAACACAAAUCAAAUGCCCCCAGGAAGCCUAACUGUAAUCUGUGGCUGCAAAUGGGGCUCCUGUAAGAGCAAUAACCCAUACUUCAUUGCCUCAUUUGCUGAGUGAAAUAUUGGUAAGGCACACGGCCUCUGGAGUUGACUUGUCUGGAUUCAGAGCCAAGACCUCGCUCCCCGCUGCAUGUAACCUUGGGCGAGUUGAUCAGUCUCUUGGCCCAUCCUUGCUUCACUCACUUGUACAAUGCAGUAGUGCUUGUUGUAUGGGGGGUGGUGAGGAUUAAAUGAGUUAGUGUCAGUAAGAGCUUAGGACAGGACUAUGCACAUGUGCCUGAGUAACUGAUAACUAUCCCUAGUUAUUUCACCACAUUGACUCCCUCAUUCUUCAUCCCCCUGGGUCCUCACGUUGUCCCACAUUUGCUCACAAACACAUAACAUCUGCCAUGAUCUCUUGGUCCUCCUAUGACCCUGCCUGCAGAGCUAGGUGACAGUAUCUUGUCACCACCUCCAGGGCCCACCACCAUGCUGUAGUGGACAUCUCUGGGGAUGACUGCUUGACUCAUCAUCACCCUCCCUCCUCUGGCCCCCAUGGCCCCAGGUGAUCUCUAUGACCCUGGCCCUCUUUGUGGUGAGUAAUUUAGAAGUGUCCCUUGAGCUGUGCUGUGACAAGCAGUACCUGUCCUCUGUGAAUCUGAAAUUUGGAAUGAACAGGCUCAGAGGUUGCCUGUUGCUGGAGCUGAGGCAUGCUAUUAAGAAUGUUCUAGAGAGAAGGUUUUGUGAGCUUAGACAACAGCCACAUCCCCAGCCACACCUUCUUCAACUUCUGAGUCAGUUCCUGUUCUUCGAAAGCUGGAGGGUGGAAGCCUGCCCCAAUCAAAGCGCCUUUCCGCAUCUCCACCCCUGGUCCUUAGUGGGGAUUUCUGCCUCAAAGCACAAAGUUCUCUACCACUCCCUUUAAGUAGCAGGCUGCAAAUAGCCUGUCCAACGAUUCUUUCCAAGUUGAAAGUAGGUGUUUCGCUUGUAAAGCUGGAGCAGGCAGAAGAGUCACCAUCUGGAGAGGAAUGGAGAGCAUUUGUAAAAUGAGUAUAUCUCCUGUUUUCCAUGGCAUCAGGCAUUUAAAAAUGUCACAGAUGGCUUCACUAAGAUUGCGGACAAUGUGCAGAAAUCAAAACAUGUUUGUUUAUUUGUGUCUUGAGUUUCACGUUGCAGGACUAGUCAGGAGGCAAAUUGGUAUAAGGAACACUGGCUUUGCAGUCCGGGCAAACUCAGGUUCAAAAGCCAUGCCCACCCUAACACGUGUUCUUGUGAUCACAAGGGAUUUACUUAACUUCUCUGAGCAUCAGUUAUAUUGUCUGUAAAAUCAAAAUGGCAAUAUGAUACCACACAGGACUCCUUAAACUGCAAGUGAUAGAAACCCAACUUGAACUUGCUUAAUCCAAAAAAGGGGCUCUAGGAUUAGCUCAUGUAGCCCAGCAAAGGAGCUGGCUGGAUUUAGGGACUGGAUCACCAGCAGGACUCUCUGUCAAGUUCUCAUCUUUGCUUACCUCUGAAUAUUGAUUUCAUUCUCUCCUUCUGAAGAUGGGCAGCAUUCAAUGGCAGGGAAUGUUCUAGACUUACGUCUUUCCAGAUAGAGAAAUUUUUCUUUGAACUUCCACUGAAGACACUUCCAGGGAGUUUGAUUCCUCAGCCAAAGACCCCUCCCCGGUGCGGACCAAUCACGGGGCCAACGGGAGGAGGCGCUAUGCUUGCCUCAGCCUGGGUGACGGCUCUGUGAGCAGGUGGUAGCAUAGUGAUGCUUUCGAGGAAGUCACUAAGAGCUGUCCCAAUGUGUCCACUUCCUCACAGUAUCUUUGUGAUUUCAAGGAAGUGACCUAGUAAAGCACCUGCUCCUGGAAUAGUCCCUCUAGUGACAGGACUCCUGGAGGAACUCUGGGGAAAAUGUGGGCAUCUUGGCCUCUCUGUUUCUCUGACACUUCAGAUUCAUUGUGUCCAACUUGGCACUUAGACUUCUCUCCGCAUAUCUUCCUGACUCGCUGCUUCUGUAGAUAGCCCCAGGUCUGAAGCUAUGCCUGCACCUUUGAUAUCUCCAGGCCCUCACAGCCUGACACUGCUUCUACUGCAGCCUGUGGCUCUCCUCUGCACCCUCUUUUCCAUUCCCAUAGUCAUCACUGUGGUCCGUUAUCCCUCAACUUCCUAAGCAGGAGCUAGCUCUGAUCUUGUCACUGCCCUGCUUCAAAAUAAGAGUGGCCGUCAUCACUUCCCAAAUGAGGGAGAGACUCUGCAGCUCAGCACUGAAGGAUGCCACAAUAUUAUCCUGAACAACUUCUGAGCCAUCCUUGCAGCAUUGUGUGUUCAGAUCCUGCUACUACAGAGCAAACAAAGAGAGAAAAACCUGGGAGGACCAGUGUAAAGAAACGAGCAAGAAGGAGUGGGGCUGACUGGGAGCAGGUUGCUAGGCAACUGUGUAGCAAUGAAAUCUGUGCUGAGGCAGAUGGUGCCAGAAGCCAAUGGAAACUCCUGCAUUCUUCGAUUUAUGUUUUAGUUGGAAAGACUCAUCAAUUUAAGAUGCUAUCUGACAGAAUUUCAUGAAGGCAUUUGGUUCUGAUGCUUAUUAUGUUGGGACUCAAGAAAUUUUUCUCUCUUUAGUGGUGAAAAAAUCUGUAAACUACUGGUGUUUUGGGGGAGGAAUGUGUGUGGGGCAAUUGGUGGGUAUAGAGUGGGAGAGAUUUUCUAAGUAGCAAAGAAGAAUAAAAUAAAAGUCAG